rnacentral:rRNA from 1 species
AUGUGACCUCAAAUCAGGUAGGACUACCCGCUGAACUUAAGCAUAUCAAUAAGCGGAGGAAAAGAAACUAACAAGGAUUCCCCUAGUAACUGCGAGUGAAGCGGGAAAAGCUCAAAUUUAAAAUCUGGCGGUCUUUGGCCGUCCGAGUUGUAAUCUAGAGAAGUGUUAUCCGCGCUGGACCGUGUACAAGUCUCCUGGAAUGGAGCGUCAUAGAGGGUGAGAAUCCCGUCUUUGACACGGACUGCCAGGGCUUUGUGAUGCGCUCUCAAAGAGUCGAGUUGUUUGGGAAUGCAGCUCAAAAUGGGUGGUAAAUUCCAUCUAAAGCUAAAUAUUGGCGAGAGACCGAUAGCGAACAAGUACCGUGAGGGAAAGAUGAAAAGAACUUUGGAAAGAGAGUUAAACAGUACGUGAAAUUGCUGAAAGGGAAACGCUUGAAGUCAGUCGCGUUGGCCAGGGAUCAACCUUGCUUUUGCUUGGUGCACUUUCUGGUUGACGGGUCAGCAUCAAUUUUGACCAUUGGAAAAAGAUUAGGGGAAUGUGGCAUCCUCGGAUGUGUUAUAGCCCUUAGUUGCAUACAAUGAUUGGGAUUGAGGAACUCAGCACGCCGCAAGGCCGGGUUUUUAACCACGUACGUGCUUAGGAUGCUGGCAUAAUGGCUUUAAUCGACCCGUCUUGAAACACGGACCAAGGAGUCUAACAUGCCUGCGAGUGUUUGGGUGGAAAACCCGAGCGCGUAAUGAAAGUGAAAGUUGAGAUCCCUGUCGUGGGGAGCAUCGACGCCCGGACCAGACCUUUUGUGACGGUUCCGCGGUAGAGCAUGUAUGUUGGGACCCGAAAGAUGGUGAACUAUGCCUGAAUAGGGUGAAGCCAGAGGAAACUCUGGUGGAGGCUCGUAGCGAUUCUGACGUGCAAAUCGAUCGUCAAAUUUGGGUAUAGGGGCGAAAGACUAAUCGAACCAUCUAGUAGCUGGUUCCUGCCGAA